UACGUAGGGCGCAAGCGUUAUCCGGAAUUAUUGGGCGUAAAGAGCUCGUAGGCGGUUUGUCGCGUCUGCUGUGAAAUCCCGAGGCUCAACCUCGGGUCUGCAGUGGGUACGGGCAGACUGGAGUGCGGUAGGGGAGAAUGGAAUUCCUGGUGUAGCGGUGGAAUGCGCAGAUAUCAGGAGGAACACCGAUGGCGAAGGCAGUUCUCUGGGCCGUAACUGACGCUGAGGAGCGAAAGCGUGGGGAGCGAACAGG
rnacentral:rRNA from 1 species